GUAAGGAAUAUUGGUCAAUGGACGAAAGUCUGAACCAGCCAUGCCGCGUGGAGGAUGAAGGUCCUCUGGAUUGUAAACUUCUUUUAUAUGGGACGAAAAUGGGGCUUUCUAGCUCAACUGACGGUACCAUAUGAAUAAGCACCGGCUAACUCCGUGCCAGCAGCCGCGGUAAUACGGAGGGUGCAAGCGUUAUCCGGAUUCACUGGGUUUAAAGGGUGCGUAGGUGGAUUGGUAAGUCAGAGGUGAAAUCUCCGGGCUCAACUCGGAAACUGCCUUUGAUACUAUCAAUCUUGAAUAUUGUGGAGGUUAGCGGAAUAUGUCAUGUAGCGGUGAAAUGCUUAGAUAUGACAUAGAACACCAAUUGCGAAGGCAGCUGGCUACACAUAUAUUGACACUGAGGCACGAAAGCGUGGGGAUCAAACAGGAUUAGAAACCCUUGUAGUCC
rnacentral:rRNA from 1 species